rnacentral:rRNA from 1 species
UAGUAACGGCGAGUGAAGCGGGAAGAAGCUCAAAUUUGUAAUCUGGCACUUUCAGUGUCCGAGUUGUAAUCUCGAGAAGUAUUUUCCGCGCCGGACUGCAUACAAGUCUGUUGGAAUACAGCGUCAUAGUGGUGAGAACCCCGUAACUGAUGCAGAUGCCCGGUGCUUUGUGAUAUACUUUCGAAGAGUCGAGUUGUUUGGGAAUGCAGCUCAAAUUGGGUGGUAAAUUCCAUCUAAAGCUAAAUAUUGGAGCAAGACCGAUAGCGAACAAGUACCGUGAGGGAAAGAUGAAAAGCACUUUGGAAAGAGAGUUAACAGUACGUGAAAUUGUUGGAAGGGAAACGCUUGAAGUCAGACUUGCUAUUCGGAGUUCAGCCGCAAGGUGUAUUCUUCGAUUUGCAGGCCAGCAUCAGUUUUCGGGGGUGGAAAAUCGUGGUUUGAAGGUAGCAACUUCGGUUGUGUUAUAGCUUUCCACUGGAUUCAUCUUUGGGGACUGAGGAACGCAGUACGCUUUUUGCAAGGCCCUCGGGCUUUUCGUACUUAGGAUGCUGGUGGAAUGGCUUUAAACGACCCGUCUU